rnacentral:rRNA from 1 species
GACGUACUACCCAAACGUUAUUCGGAUUUACUGGGCUUAAAGAGUCCGUAGGCGGCCAAGAAAGUUGGGCGUGAAAUACCUCGGCCCAACCGAGGAAUAGCGCUCAAAACUACUUGGCUAGAGAGAGACAGAGGUGAGCGGAACUGAUGGUGGAGCGGUGAAAUGCGUUGAUAUCAUCAGGAACACCGGUGGCGAAAGCGGCUCACUGGGUCUCUUCUGACGCUGAGGGACGAAAGCUAGGGGAGCGAACGGG